CAGGACCACCGUGCCCCAGUAUCAAGCGGACAGCAAAUCUCUCGGUGGCUCCUUUUGUAAGGGUUUCUGCCCUCAGGGUUGUUACGGGACAGAAAUGGUUUCAUCAGAAACAAGCCCUCCUCGCACACUCACAGUUUGCAGGACUCCGAACUGGGCCCGCGAGAUCUCCACCUGCGCAAAACGAAAGGGCGGAUUCUCCUUGGACUCACGAGGCAACCGCUCCCCGGGGUGAGAACGGGGGACUCAUUCCUCCGGCACUGGGAGAAGACGAUUCUUUAGGAGGAGGACAGGGAAGCGAAUGCUACCCAGAUGUCUCAGUAUACUGGCUCGCGGCACAUCGGGCAAAUGAACCUAUCAGAUAACAACGGCAGAUCAGAUGCCUGAGCAUUCAGAAGCAACAGCUGUGGAGCCCCCGUGGGUUCAGAAGGCCUGGUUCCCGUCUCCAGAAGCCUGGCUCUCCUCCCUCCUGGGCCCACUACUUUGGCUUCUUGUUCCUACGUACAAGGAGUUGCGAAGAAGGCAACUCUUCCCCUCCCUGAAGCCAAAGGAAUGAAACAGACUAGGGCGGGAGAGGUGGCCAUCCGUCAUUAGUUGCGGCCAUCAGUAACAGCAACAGGACACGGAACCUAAGGCUGUAUCCAUCCUGGGCCCCCAGGGAAACAUCAGCGGGAGCGGUACUAAGGAAGUGCUCAUCUCUUAGAGACAAAGGCCCAUGGAGGGGAACAGUAACCAUCCCCUCCCAAUUCAGAAAAUGUUAACAUAAGCACUUCAUU
rnacentral:lncRNA from 10 species